rnacentral:lncRNA from 1 species
CAUUUAAACAGCUUUUAACUUUUAUUUACACUAAAAUAUUAGGAACAUAAUGAUAUAUUUUGAUUAGUAAGCUAAAUAAAUGAAUCCCAAAAACUAGUUCGUUUCUAUGACCCAUUUCACUGAAAUACUUGUAACUUUAUUAAAUUUAGGUUGAAGAAAUGUCUCAAUGUGAAUUUGUGUAAACCAUUUUACUGUUCAUUUAUUGAACGUCAACCUGUAUCACCUGGUAAAAGAAGGCGCAUGUUAAAAUAAUGCUGUGCAAAAAGCCUGUUUAAAAUUUAUAAUUUGUACAAAAUCAUAACGUGUAAGCAACAUAUACCAAGAGGCCAAAAUCUUAUUAUCAAUACUACGGUGGAUUCAUUUAUUUUCGUGGGUACCAAUUUUCGUGGAGGAAGGAAAACUCAAUGCUUAUGUUCUCGGGACCUUUAAUUUUGUGGUUUUGACAAAGUCUUCAUACAAGCCUGUAGAAAAUUUGUCAUUCGUUGGACAUUUAAUUUUGUGGUACACCUAUAACCACGAAAAUUGGUAUCCCAACGAAUAAUUGUGAAUCCACAGUAUUAAUUUUUUUAACAUAUUUCUUUUUUUUGAACUUUACAACUUGAUUAUUUCUAUGUUAGUAUUUACUAUAUAUAAUUAAAUGAGACAUGUGUCAUAAAUCUACAGCACUUUGUCAAAACAUUAUCUAAAUUUAGAGAUUAAGAAUAUUCUAGAGCACACGAUUAAACAAUACCCUUUCACCAGUGCCAAAUAUAAAGGAUUACCCGUGCAGUUCGAUUUUUUCUCUCCUUGUUACAGAAAUUUAGUAAAAAUGUUAAAAUGAUAUACUAUUAGGUCUUUUUUACUAUUGUAAAUUCCAAAGAAACAAACAGAAAAAUAUCAAAAAUUACAUUGGAGAUCAUUUAAGCAGUAAGAGCUAAAUGCAUCAAAAAUUCAAACUGUUUAUUUUAUUUUUCAUCAUAAUUUGUCAGUGUAAAUUAGCAUACUGAAUAAUUUUAUUAAAUUUAAUGUACAGUGAGACCUGGCUAAACCGAAUCCUGCAUAAAUCGGAAACCUGUAUAAACCAAACAUGUUCUUAAGCACCGUCAUAUCAAAUUAUGUGCAUUGAGAACCUGAUAAAACUGAACAUAGGCCAAAACGGAACAAAGUCUUAAGUCCCGAAAAGGUUCGGUUUAAACAGGUUACACUGUAUCAGUAUUUGACCAGCACCUGUUAACACAUUUUCCCAUCUAAAACAACUAGCCUUUCCCUCAACUAAAAAACUAUGAAUACCCCUAUUUCAGCAACUAUACAAUUACUUUUUAUUUUAAAAUUAAGUUGGCUAGUAAUGGUAAGUUUUUGGUUGAAAUUUGUUCUGUAUAUGGUCAGUACUGAGUAGUCCUUUUCAAUGCAAAAAAGGACAUUGGGUAAAGAAGACUAGAAUCAUCAUAAAAAAUCAGACAAUUAAUUUCAGUAGACCAGUGGCAUCCAAGUUUAAAGGCUGUUAAAAAUGGACAAACAGUAAAAUGUUUUUAAUAAUACUUCAGCUGUGUAGCUCCAGAAAUAAUUGAAAGUUCCUGAGAUUGCUCAGAUUGCCAAUUGGCUGUUUCAGAAUCUAAAGUACUAUGGGUAAUUUCAUUGUUCGUACCCAAAAUGAAAAUAACGUCACAUCAUUGGUUGAAUUUUCAUUGUUUUGGACGUUUUCAACCAAUCACAACGUUUUGGUGUACACUUCUGAAAAUAUUACCCACAAUUCAUUAGAUUUUGAAACAGCCAAUUAUGAUAACGAAGCACCACAUUACAAUUCUUGCAUCCAAAAUGGUUUCUGGUUAAUAAUAAGUAAUUACUUACAAGAUGAUUCAGUUUUACCAAAGAAUAAUAAAAAAAAUACCCUUUUAGCAAAUAUAUUUUUUAAUACGAUACAAAAAAUCUAUUCUAUAAACUAAAAUAUCUUGGUUUUUAGAACAAAAAAAAAAUAUUUUCUAGUAGGAUAUCAUCAGCUUAUUUUAUUUGAAUAAAAACUUAAAGCAAGAAUAUAUUGAGAUUUCUUUAAUAUAUACUGGAUGGACUGACAAAAAGAUAAAGACUAUGAGUGAUGAUGACAAAAUGACAAAAAUCUAUCUACAAUAUAAUGCUUUUAUUAACCAUUUGCAAGUGCUAUUAACCAAUAGGAAAACCUACUACAUGUAAAAACAGUACAAUAGAUAUUCAAAUUUUCUGCUUUGUCUAUUACAGAGAUGUUUUUUUAUUAUUUGCUGUUGAAUUUUUUUUCUUCAAAACUGGAAAAUUCUUAAACAAUAAAUUAUUAUUAACUGGAUUUUGAAGUUAAUUUUGUUAUAUAAUCAUCCAAAUGAAAUUGCCUCAUUAAUUUUUUUUUUGUAAAUAAUUUAUUUGUGGUUUGUCAUCUAAAUGGGGAUCAGCAAAGAUUCAUGAAAAAUUAUUUUUAGCAUCUGAAUGUCUCAGUACCUAUCACCCAAUAAAUUAUACACAUGACCAUUCACCUCAACUAAUUAACAUAUUUAUAUUCUACUGCAAACAAUCUAUCAUUAUGAUCUUGAUGCGUAAACAUGUAAACUAUUUGAAAAUGACACGAUAAAGACCAAAAUAGAAGAAGCUCUUGUAUUCCAUACUGAAUAGACAAUUUUAUGCAAUGAUGGAAGUUCUAAAGAAGAUAGUGUUAGCCAUCUAACCUACCACCUGAUUUCACCAGAUUCCCCCGUUUUACUUUUUUCUUCUUAAGGUGGUACCUAACACUACAGGGAGAUAACUCUGUAAAAUCAGCUAAACGUUUUAAUCACGUUGUGUUGUUAAGAGAAUAUAAAGCUUCUCA